GAUGAACGCUGGCGGCGUGCCUAAUACAUGCAAGUCGAGCGAACGGACGAGAAGCUUGCUUCUCUGAUGUUAGCGGCGGACGGGUGAGUAACACGUGGAUAACCUACCUAUAAGACUGGGAUAACUUCGGGAGACCGUAGCUAAUACCGGAUAAUAUUUUGAACCGCAUGGUUCAAAAGUGAAAGACGGUCUUGCUGUCACUUAUAGAUGGAUCCGCGCUGCAUUAGCUAGUUGGUAAGGUAACGGCUUACCAAGGCAACGAUGCAUAGCCGACCUGAGAGGGUGAUCGGCCACACUGGAACUGAGACACGGUCCAGACUCCUACGGGAGGCAGCAGUAGGGAAUCUUCCGCAAUGGGCGAAAGCCUGACGGAGCAACGCCGCGUGAGUGAUGAAGGUCUUCGGAUCGUAAAACUCUGUUAUUAGGGAAGAACAUAUGUGUAAGUAACUGUGCACAUCUUGACGGUACCUAAUCAGAAAGCCACGGCUAACUACGUG
rnacentral:rRNA from 1 species